rnacentral:rRNA from 1 species
CAGUAGCCGCGGUAACACCGAGGGUGCGAGCGUUAAUCGGAUUUACUGGGCGUAAAGCGUGCGUAGGCGGCUAAUUGAGUCGGAUGUGAAAUCCCCGAGCUUAACUUGGGAAUUGCAUUCGAUACUGGUUAGCUAGAGUGUGGGAGAGGAUGGUAGAAUUCCAGGUGUAGCGGUGAAAUGCGUAGAGAUCUGGAGGAAUACCGAUGGCGAAGGCAGCCAUCUGGCCUAACACUGACGCUGAGGUACGAAAGCAUGGGGAGCAAACAGGAUUAGAUACCCCCGUAGUCCCUGUCUCUUAUAC